UAGUGCGUAUCGGGUGGUUGAAAGAUUUUCUAAUGGAUCAAUUCAAUUGGAAGAUUUUAUAGGCCAUCAAUUCACUACACGUAUUAACGAGAACCAUUUAAGGUUGUAUUAUACUUAAAAUCCGAGACAGAUUUCAAUUAUUGGUAUAGAUAAACUAUGGUAUAGAGGCGACUGAAAAGAUAGUUGAAAUAUAAUUAAUAAUA
rnacentral:lncRNA from 1 species